GAAUCUUCCACAAUGGACGAAAGUCUGAUGGAGCAAUGCCGCGUGAGUGGAGAAGGUUUUCGGAUCGUAAAACUCUGUUGUGAGGGAAGAACAAGUACGAGAGUAACUGCUCGUACCUUGACGGUACCUCAUUAGAAAGCCACGGCCACCUAAGUGCCAGCAGCCGCGGGACUACGUCUGUGGCAAGCGUUGUACGGACUUAUUGGGCGUAAAGCGCGCGCAGGCGGUCCUUUAAGUCUGAUGUGAAAUCCCACGGCUCAACCGUGGAAGGUCAUUGGAAACUGGGGGACUUGAGUACAGAAGAGGAAAGCGGAAUUCCAAGUGUAGCGGUGAAAUGCGUAGAGAUUUGGAGGAACACCAGUGGCGAAGGCGACAUACUGGCUCAUUACUGACGCUGAGGCGCGAAAGCGUGGGGAGCAAACA
rnacentral:rRNA from 1 species